UCACAUUUUCAAUCAAUCCAA
rnacentral:piRNA from 1 species